AACGAACGCUGGCGGCAGGCCUAACACAUGCAAGUCGAACGCAUCCUUCGGGGUGAGUGGCGCACGGGUGAGUAACACGUGGGAAUGUAUCCUUUGGUUCGGAAUAACGUCUGGAAACGGACGCUAAUACCGGAUGAGCCCUUAGGGGGAAAGAUUUAUCGCCGAAGGAGCAGCCCGCGUCUGAUUAGGUAGUUGGUGGGGUAAAGGCCUACCAAGCCGACGAUCAGUAGCUGGUCUGAGAGGAUGAUCAGCCACACUGGGACUGAGACACGGCCCAGACUCCUACGGGAGGCAGCAGUGGGGAAUAUUGGACAAUGGGCGCAAGCCUGAUCCAGCCAUGCCGCGUGAGUGAUGAAGGCCUUCGGGUUGUAAAGCUCUUUCGCACACGACGAUGAUGACGGUAGUGUGAGAAGAAGCCCCGGCUAACUUCGUGCCAGCCGCCGCGGUAA
rnacentral:rRNA from 1 species